AAUCCAAAAUAAUAGUAUUAUACAUACUCCACCAAAUUCAAGGUUGCCUCCACCAGUUGUAAUUCUAAUUAUUCAUAGGAACUUAGUCGCAGAUGAAGUAAAUAAACUUACAGCCACCACAACAUAAACAUCACUAUUCACUGUGAUGCAAGGCAGGCUUAAUGCAGAUCUCAACACACUUCAAAGAUCAGAGGAUUCAUUCAUCCACUAGAUGUGAGAUUCUGGAAAUUUA
rnacentral:lncRNA from 1 species